AUACGGAGGAUCCGAGCGUUAUCCGGAUUUAUUGGGUUUAAAGGGUGCGCAGGCGGCCAUUUAAGUCAGCGGUUAAAUCGUGGGGCUCAACCCCAUUCUGCCGUUGAUACUGGGUGGCUUGAUUGCGGUCGAGGUUGGCGGAAUUCGUUGUGUAGCGGUGAAAUGCAUAGAUAUGACGAAGAACACCAAUUGCGUAGGCAGCUGACCAGAUCGCAAAUGACGCUCAUGCACGAAAGUGCGGGGAUCGAACAGGAUUAGAUACCCUGGUAGUCCGCACAGUAAACGAUGAAUACUUGUUUUCGGCGAUAUAAUGUCGGAGGCAAAGCGAAAGCGAUAAGUAUUCCACCUGGGGAGUACGCCGGCAACGGUGAAACUCAAAUGAAUUGGCGGGG
rnacentral:rRNA from 1 species